GGAUGAGUGGGGGUUGCGUGUGUCGAGGGGAUAGGAUUAGGUGAGGUUAGGUUAGAUUUUUUUUUUUUUUUUAGUAAACGAGGCAGCUCAAGGGGAGGGAAAAAAAAAAACAAUGAAAAAACAAUGAAAAAAAAUGAAAAAAAGCUCACUAAUCACUGCUGCUAAAAAAUAAUAAUAAUAAAAAAAAAGUUAGGCUAUGAUUAUUUUUUUACAGUGAAGGCGGCCACUCAAGAGAAAUAAAAGAAAAAGAAAAAGAAAACAAUGAAAAAAAGCCCACUAAUCACUGCUCCUAUAUAUAAAAAAGGAUAGGCAAUGAUAAUUUUUUCUUUUUACAGUGGAGGCAGCUCAAGGUGGGGUGGGGGGGGGGGGGGAAGUUAGGUCAGGGUUAGGUUACAAUGAGGUUAGAUUAGAAUUAGGGGAGGUUAUUAGGUUGGCAUUAUGAUAUGUUGGGUUAGGUACAGUAGGAUCGAUCAGGAUUAAGAUUAGGAUAGGAUAGGAUUAGGUUAGACUACAGAAAGGUUAGGUUAUGAGGUUAGCUUUACGGUAUGUUGGGUUAAGUAGACUCGAUUAGGAUUAAGUUAAAAAUAGGAUAGGAUAGGUUAGGAUUAGGUUAGAGUAAGGACAGGUUAGGUUAUGAGGUUAGCAUUAUGGUAGGUUGGGUUAGGUAAAGCAGGUUUGAUUAGGAUUAAGUUAAAAAUAGGAUAGGAUAGGUUAGGAUUAGGUUAGAGUAAGGACAGGUUAGGUUAUGAGGUUAGCUUUACGGUAUGUUGGGUUAGGUAAAGCAGGUUUGAUUAGGAUUAAGUUAAAAUUAGGAUAGGAUAGCUUAGGAUUAGGUUAGAGUAAGGACAGUUUAGGUUAUUAGGUUAGCUUUAUGAUAGGUUGGGUUAAGUAAACUCGAUUAGGAUUAAGUUAAGAAUAGGAUACGAUAGGAUAGGAUUAAGUUAGAAUACGGAAAGGUUACAUUAUUAGGUUAGCUUUAUAUGUUGGGUUAAGUAGACUCGAUUAGGAUUAAGUUAAAAAUAGGAUAGGAUAGCUUAGGAUUAGGUUAGAAUACGGAAAGGUUAGGUUAUGGGAUUAGCUUCAUGAUACGUUGGGUUCGGUAAAGUACGUAGACUCGAUUAGGAUAGAUGGGAUUAAGAUUAGGAUAGACGGGUUAGGAUUAGGUUAGGUUGUCAUAAUAAUAAUAAUAAUAAUAAUAAUAAUAAUAAUAAUAAUACAAACAGAUAAGGAGGCAAAAUGAUGAGUGGAUGAAUAAAUAAACAGAUGAAUGAAUGAAUAUAUGAAUGAAUGAACAGAUAAACAGAUGAAGAACAGAUGAAUGAAUGAAUGAAUGGACGAAAGACAGGCUGCAAAUUACAUGGGGUUAAAAAAUAUAUCUGGGGUGAGGUGAGAAAGUGACGAAGGGGAAAAAAAGUACCAUGGGGAGUAAAAACAAUGAAAAAGAAGAUAGGGAGGAGGAGGGACUGAUGGCUGGCUGCAUGUGAGAAUGGGUUAAAAAUAGGUCUGGGGUGGGGAGAGGAAGUGACGAGGGGAGAGAAAGUACCGUGGGGAGUAAAAACAAUAAAAAAGAAGAUAGGGAGGAGGGACUGAUGGCUGGCUGCAUGUGAGAAUGGGUUAAAAAUAGGUCUGGGGUGGAGAGAGGAGGUGACGAGGGGAGAGAAAGUACCGUGGGGAGUAAAAAUAAUAAAAAAAGAAGAUAGGGAGGAGGGACUGAUAGCUGGCUGCAUGUGAGAAUGGGUUAAAAAUAGGUCUGGGGUGGGGAGAGGAGGUGACGAGGGGAGAGCAAGUACCGUGGGGAGUAAAAACAAUAAAAAAGAAGAUAGGAAGGAGCUGGCUGCACGUGAGAAUGGGUUAAAAAUAGGUCUGGGGUGGAGCGAGGAGGUGACGAGGGGAGAAAAAGUACUGUGGGGAGUAAAAAUAAAAAUAAUAGUGAUCGAUGGUUGGCGGCACGAGGCAGGGGGUUAAGAAUAGCGAAGGGGUGCGAUGAGGAGGGGACGACAGGGAAAGAGGGUGUGUGUGUUGUGGUGAGUUGCAACAAUCAUCAUCGUCACCAAAAGUCUGUCAUCAUUUUCCUGUUUUGUUAAGAUGUUUGCCGUUAGAUGACCUGCCCUAAAACUGUCCCUGUCUGAGAGUUGUAAUGACGGUAAUGGUGAUGAUGAUGAUGAUGAUGAUGGUGACGAUGAUAAUGAUAGUAGGCUGGGUGGAUGAAAGACUGGUUGGUUGUGUUUCAUAAUAGCUCAGGGGAAAGUUAAGGAAAUGAUAAUAAUAAUGAUACUAAUUUGAUUGUGUUUCUUUUUCUUCUUCUUGUGGGAGUAGCAUAGGGUAGGUUUUAUUUUAUUUUAUUUUAUUUUAUUUUAUUAUUUUAUUUUACUUUAUUAUUA